CAAGGAGUGGACAUUGUGUUUUGAGGGCCAUGGAAAUUAACCUGGAGGAUCAGAAUAAAGCGAAGGUCUGAGCAGGAUCUAUUCACAAGCGAGAAACCUGUGCCAGCCACAAAUCAGAGCUCAGACGUUUUCUAUCAUCUAUCGAUUGGUCAGCAGUAGAUGAAGCUAGAAACUUUGAGGCCAAAUCGGCGCUCUUGAUCAUAUUACGCUUGUUAGCAAGGAGAUGAACAUAGACUUUAAGAGGAACACCCACAACUACCCUUCAGCUGUGGUCAAUAAUGAGAAACACCCACAACUACCCCUCAGCUGUGGUCAACGACGAGGAACUAACAUUGUCUGGCAGUGUAAGGAUCUUAGGGGUCACAGUUUAGCUCCAAUUUGAAAUGGAAUGGCCAUGUCAUAGAGUGCAUCAAGAUCGCAAAUACUAAGCACCUCUAUUUUAUUGUGCUCUUAAAAUGGGCCAAAGUCCCACAAAAGGACGUCAUGAACUUUUAUUGCACUGCUAUAAGACUGUGCUAGUAUUUCAUGACGCGAUUCUGCUCUACCUUAGCGACGACAUUGAAUGAUGCAAAAGGGAGCUCUAUCAAUUAUUUGCCCCCAUGUGCGAUACUCAGUCUGCUUAGCUUGUUUCAAUAUGGCCACCCUAUACAAAGUCUAUGCCAUGAAAAACAAACAAAGAAAUGUAAUGCAACACCUCAAGAAUGUGCAAGCCAAUAUCCUGGAAAUUUUCAUGCUGAUCAUGAUCUUCUAUUUUGUUUAGCUUGUAAUGUUGUCGUAAGUUGUUUUUAAACUUCUUUGGGUCCCGAUUCAGUUAAGUAAUGCAGCUGUUUUAUAAACACCGGCACAUAAACAAUUCAUUGCAUCCAGACGCUUGAUUUGCAAGUUUAAUUAAUUAAAGCACAUAAAACUUCUGCUUACAAAGUAUUGCACCAUUCGGCGCAUAAUCGGCGCAUAAUUCACAAUAUUGUGCAAUUCUAGAAAACAUCCAUACCCCCCAACGGAGGGAAAAAAUUUUUUGCCCACCACCCCCCCUGCCACCCCCUGGAACAAAAAUUACCCCCCCCCCCGGAUUUUGCGAUCCAAAAAAAAUACCGCCACCCCCCUCUGGAAAUAUGGUUUUGCGAAAAUGUUACGUAAACGCAUGUUUGAUUAAAACAUCCGCAAAACCAAUAAUUUCUUCUGAAACGUGCAAGUCACAUUUUAGCUACUUCACAAUCUUCGAAAUAAAAGAAUAUUUGAAUUCUUAUCGUCUUAAUAACUAGACUACAUUGUGUAUUUAUUGCUUUCUUUCUCUAGUAUGAAUACAACUUUAUGCCUGGAACUUUAUGCCAUGGAAAUGCCUAGCUAUACCGUUUUAUUGUAACUUGUGCCACGUUGACAAGCAAAAGCCUAAAGCCUCUUAAUUAACUAAAAUCCUAGUAUAGUUUAUCGUUUAAAUAUAAAAUACGUUUGUUUAACUCCUUCAAGAAAAUUUUAGUGUUUUACAAAUAGUUAUCGGAAUUUUAGGUGACCAAACGAAUUUUUCCAUCUGAAACAGCGCCUGUGGCAUUUAAACUUCUGUAAAGCUGAUCGUCCUGUUUUAUUAUUGUUCUGUUUGGUUGGUUUCUAUUUUAGAGUAAUUUUGGUGAUGAAAAUUUACAGUCAAUAGCUUGUGUUUGUAUAAUUUUCUCAGCCACGAAAACUUAACACCUUACACCCGGCCCAACGUGUUCCCUUCACAGUUCUGGAAUUCUUUAGAAGGUGCGACAUGGAAGCCAUUUCGUAGUAAGAAAAAUGUAGGCGCUCCGCCAAAUACAGACAAAAAGAGCCAGACUUGAAUGCAAAGUAAGAA